UACAAAGAGCAGUUGAAGGAGUGUGACGGAAAUCUGAGCAGAAGCAUCGAACAAAUACAAAUGAAGACUGAGGAGAUCAACAAGUGCAAACUGGAGAGAGAGAAUUGUACCCAGCUUCUCCAGGCGUGUAACCAUGUGGGCUCUAUACACAAGAAACAUCCCUGGUGGCUCAUGGUCGCCGUCUUCUCCGGCCUGCGACUGUACAUUUAGAGGGUCGUCCCUCUGAUUGCACCACGAGAACAGUGCAGGAUAUUUUGGAUUCUUCAUUUGCUCUCAGCAUCGAAAAUCGAACUUUGAUUCCUCUGUGCUAACUCUGUCCUACUGUCCAAGGUGCAUUGGAACCAAAUUAGCCAGUAUAAGACUCCAAGCUUGACGGGCACUUAUUUAAAUAUUUAUGCCUAUGUUGGAAAUCUAAUAUAACACUGGAAACUCCCCAAAAGCUGAAAAUACUCAGCGUCCAUUGAAGAUCUGAAGCAGGGUCUUUAACUUGAGAUGUUAACUGGUAAUUCUUCUGUUAAUUAAAUCUGUUAAAAUGAUUAGAUUCUUGAUUGGUACGGGUGUCAGGGAUUAUG